UAAUGUAUGGGGAUCUGCCCGAUAGAGGGGAAUAACUACUGGAAACGGUGGCUAAUACCGCAUAAUGUCUACGGACCAAAGCAGGGGCUCUUCGGACCUCGCACUAUCGGAUGAACCCAUAUGGGAUUAGCUAGUAGGUGGGGUAAAGGCUCACCUAGGCGACGAUCUCUAGCUGGUCUGAGAGGAUGAUCAGCCACACUGGGACUGAGACACGGCCCAG
rnacentral:rRNA from 1 species